rnacentral:rRNA from 1 species
AUGGCAUCGUGGAGCAGCGGCGAUGACACGAAAGAAAAUGCCGUGCAAGUGUCGGUGGAUGCCAAACUGACGGUGGCCGCAGGCCGUGGCAACUGUCAGCAGUUGAAGGAUCUGCUGAGCACGGAGGAUUCAAAGACAAUGCUGGUUGUGAUGGCCCCAAGCAUCCAGGCUUCCACAGUGAAGCCUCUCCCAGAGGUCAUGAACCCCCUUCUUCUAUCAUCAGCUUGCUCUGGCGCCUGGCAAGACUUGGAGUUUCUUCUCAACAGGGGACACGGUCAGCCGCAUCCUUCCAUGAAUUCUAGCACAAAAUUUCAUGACCUGCUCACGGCAUACGGCUCCGACAGCUGCGGCAACAAAGGUACGUCGAUGCAGAAAGCUUCUGAUGAUGUUGAAGCACUUCCGAACCUGCCUUCACUUUCUGCUGUGUCACUUCUGGACGGGGUCACCAUUGAAGGGGGCACUGCACUUCAUGUGGUGGCCACAUAUGGUGAGAGUGACGGAUUCUUGAGGAGUGCUGACAUCAUCCAUAGUAAGGCAAGGCAUCUCCUGUUUGCGCGUAACAAGAACGGUGACACGCCCUUGCACUGCGCUGCACGGGCUGGGAUGUCCCGAAUGGUCUGUCAUCUCAUCACUUUGGCGAGAGACGAGAAUACAGGUCUUAACAGAGUGAAGGAACUCCUAGAGAUUGAAAACAGCCAUAAGGAGACAGCAUUGCAUCAAGCAGUCCGUAUCGGAAAUAAUGAUAUAGUCAAGCUGGAGGAAAACUCGGAGCUGGCCAGUUUCCCGAAAGACGGCACUUCACCUCUGUACCUGGCCAUCUUGUUGGAAGAGGACAUCAUUGUUGAGACACUUUAUAAUGCGAGUCACAUGAAACUUUCCUACUCUGGAAAAAAUGGACAGAAUGCAUUGCAUGCGGCGGUUCUCCGAGGCACAGAGCUUACAAAAAAGCUCUUGGAAUGGAACAGUGAUCUCACUACACAAAGGGAUGAAAACGGGAGUACGCCUCUCCAUUUUGCUGCAGCUCUGGCACAGCAAAGUCAGCGAGGAAGUAUAUGUUGGCAAGUAUUGGAAGCGAACUCAGCUGCAUUGUAUCAGUCAGAUUGCAACGGAUUAUUUCCAAUACACGUUGCUGCCUCUGUUGGUGAAAGUGGGACAAUAACUAUGUUUCUUAACAAGUCUCCAAGCAGUGCCGGUUUGCAGGACAGUAUGGGAAGGACAUUCCUUCAUGUAGCUGCUGAGAAAAGGAAAGUUAGAAUAGUCAGUUCUGCUUGCAGAAAUCGACCACUCUUAUGGAUUCUUAAUAUCCAAGACAAUGAUGGGAACACUGCACUACACCUAGCUAUCCAGGCACGGAGUCUUCGAAUGUUUUGUGCUUUGUUAGGGAAUCGACACACACAUUUGAAUUUAUCAAAUAAUAUUGGGCAAACUCCUCUAGAUAUAUCCCCAUAUGGGGUUCCCCCAGGAUUUUUUGAUGAUCAGAUCAGUGAAGCAAAGAUACACUUUGCACUGACAGUUGUUAAUGCUAGGAGUGGUGGCAGUCGUCGUGAUCACUUUGAAGAAAACUACACUCGUCAGUUAAAAUAUGAUGAAACGGAACAAUUAGAAAAGGCAAAAGAACCAACACAAACACUAUGUAUUGGUGUGGCUCUAAUCGCAACUGCGACAUUUAGUGUUACUUUUGCCCUUCCUGGAGGUUACAAAGCUGAUGAACAUGUUAAUGGAGGCACACCAACACUUGCUGGGACGUAUGCAUUUGAUGCAUUCAUAAUAGCCAGCACAUUCUCCUUCGUCUUGUCUGCGAUGGCUAUGGUAGGCCUCAUGUAUUCUGGAUACUCUAUUUUAAACCCACAGACUCGUAGAAUUUACUUAAUGACGGCCUUGUAUUUUGGGUCAACAUCGGGCACAUGCUUCAUAACAACUUUUGCACUAGGUUUGUACAUGGUGCUAGCACGAGUUGCUCACAAGUCUGCAGUUGCUAUCUGCGUCAUUAGCCCCCUUCUUGUUAUAUGCAAACAAAUGGACUUUUGGUUAAAGUGGGCUCUUCUGGCACAACCAUUAUAUACUCGAAUUGGGCUAGCUCGUACACUGGUAAUGGUAACAACGAGAAUCCUUUUCAGCCUGUUGAUGGAAUUUUGGCCCAUAAUAUUCAUUUUUGUUUGGGCCAUAUAUACAAGCAACCAGUUUUAG